GCUGGUUUGACUUAACGGCUAAAGUUCUUGUUUUGUAAGCGAGCCAUAAUGGUUCGAAUCCAUUAAUCAGCU
rnacentral:tRNA from 1 species